AGUGAACGCUGGCGGUAGGUCUAACACAUGCAAGUCGAACGGCAGCACAGUAAGAGCUUGCUCUUACGGGUGGCGAGUGGCGGACGGGUGAGGAAUACAUCGGAAUCUACUUUUUCGUGGGGGAUAACGUAGGGAAACUUACGCUAAUACCGCAUACGACCUACGGGUGAAAGCAGGGGAUCUUCGGACCUUGCGCGAUUGAAUGAGCCGAUGUCGGAUUAGCUAGUUGGCGGGGUAAAGGCCCACCAAGGCGACGAUCCGUAGCUGGUCUGAGAGGAUGAUCAGCCACACUGGAACUGAGACACGGUCCAGACUCCUACGGGAGGCAGCAGUGGGGAAUAUUGGACAAAGGGCGCAAGCCUGAUCCAGCCAUACCGCGUGAGUGAAGAAGGCCUUCGGGUUGUAAAGCCCUUUUGUUGGGAAAGAAAAGCAGCAGGUUAAUACCCCGCUGUUCUGACGGUACCCAAAGAAUAAGCACCGGCUAACUUCGUG
rnacentral:rRNA from 1 species